rnacentral:rRNA from 1 species
GGAUAAGCGGGGGAAACCCCGUCUAAUACCGCGUAACGCGGCCUAGGGACAUCCCAAGGCCGCCAAAGGGAGCAAUCCCGGCCACGGAUGGGCAUGCGGCGCAUUAGCUAGUCGGCGGGGUAACGGCCCACCGAGGCGACGAUGCGUAGGGGUUCUGAGAGGAAGGCCCCCCACACUGGUACUGAGACACGGACCAGACUCCUACGGGAGGCAGCAGUGAGGAAUAUUGGUCAAUGGGCGCGAGCCUGAACCAGCCAAGUCGCGUGAGGGAGGACGGCCCUACGGGUUGUAAACCUCUUUUGCCGGGGAGCGACGGGCGUCACGUGUGGCGCCACUGAGAGUACCCGGAGAAAAAGCAUCGGCUAACUCCGUGCCAGCAGCCGCGGUAAUACGGAGGAUGCGAGCGUUAUCCGGAUUUAUUGGGUUUAAAGGGUGCGUAGGCGGAUCGUUAAGUCAGUGGUCAAAUUGAGGGGCUCAACCCCUUCCCGCCAUUGAAACUGGCGAUCUUGAGUGGAAGAGAAGUAUGCGGAAUGCGUGGUGUAGCGGUGAAAUGCAUAGAUAUCACGCAGAACCCCGAUUGCGAAGGCAGCAUGCCGGCUUCCGACUGACGCUGAAGCACGAAAGCGUGGGGAUCGAACAGGAUUAGAUACCCUGGUAGUCCACGCGGUAAACGAUGAGCGCUAGGUGUCCGGGGGGAAUGGCCCCUGGGU